rnacentral:rRNA from 1 species
GACGAACGCUGGCGGCGUGCCUAAUACAUGCAAGUAGAACGCUGAAGGAGGAGCUUGCUUCUCUGGAUGAGUUGCGAACGGGUGAGUAACGCGUAGGUAACCUGCCUGGUAGUGGGGGAUAACUAUUGGAAACGAUAGCUAAUACCGCAUAAUAGCAGUUGUUGCAUGAUAACUGUUUGAAAGGUGCAAUUGCACCGCUACCAGAUGGACCUGCGUUGUAUUAGCUAGUUGGUGGGGUAACGGCUCACCAAGGCGACGAUACAUAGCCGACCUGAGAGGGUGAUCGGCCACACUGGGACUGAGACACGGCCCAGACUCCUACGGGAGGCAGCAGUAGGGAAUCUUCGGCAAUGGACGGAAGUCUGACCGAGCAACGCCGCGUGAGUGAAGAAGGGUGUCGGAUCGUAAAGCUCUGUUGUAAGAGAAGAACGAGUGUGAGAGUGGAAAGUUCACACUGUGACGGUAUCUUACCAGAAAGGGACGGCUAACUACGUG